AGGUGGCUAUUUCUUGCCAGGAGAUUUGAGAUAUGGUGACCAUGCUUUGGGAUUUUCAUAGUUUGAGUAAUUCCUAUGGGCUCUACCACCCAGCGAGUUAAAGAAGACAAGAUUCCACCCCCAGGGGGUUGUGGUUCUGGGAAUGUGAGCAGCUUGUUUUCAGGAGAUCUGCAUCUUGAUCUGGCCUGCUAUUAGGAUCUGUGGUGGUGGUGCCUGUCUGGUUUUAGUUGUUUCUUUUAUCUUACACAGAUUUUUGUAAGUUAUUUGCAUAUAAAGGUUUUUGAAAAGUGAAUGUUUUAUGGGGGCAUCUUGCUUAUACAAAGAAAAAUUAAAACUGUUUUAAAA
rnacentral:lncRNA from 10 species